GAGGGUAUAGCUCACUGGUAGAGUGUGUAUUUAACAUGCACAAGGUCCUGGGUUCAAUUCCUAGUUUCUUCU
rnacentral:tRNA from 1 species